rnacentral:rRNA from 1 species
GACGAACGCUGGCGGCGUGCCUAAUACAUGCAAGUAGAACGCUGAAGGAGGAGCUUGCUCUUCUGGAUGAGUUGCGAACGGGUGAGUAACGCGUAGGUAACCUGCCUGGUAGCGGGGGAUAACUAUUGGAAACGAUAGCUAAUACCGCAUAAGAGUAGAUGUUGCAUGACAUUUACUUAAAAGGUGCAAUUGCAUCACUACCAGAUGGACCUGCGUUGUAUUAGCUAGUUGGUGGGGUAACGGCUUACCAAGGCGACGAUACAUAGCCGACCGGAGAGGGGGGUCGGCCACACUGGGACUGUGACACGGCCCAGACUCCUACGGGCGGCAGCAGUAGGGAAUCUUCGGCAAUGGACGGAAGUCUGACCGAGCAACGCCGCGUGAGUGAAGAAGGUUUUCGGAUCGUAAAGCUCUGUUGUAAGAGAAGAACGAGUGUGAGAGUGGAAAGUUCACACUGUGACGGUAUCUUACCAGAAAGGGACGGCUAACUACGUG